UGGUGGGCCGAAUGGCCUGUUUUCGCGCUGUAUCUAAGCUAAACUAAAAGAAUCACCAGUCUCUCACAAUUAGGUGUUUAACUCAUUCUGACAACGCUGGUGAGUCCAACCUUUGUUGUCCACCCUGGCAGUGACCGUUUUGGAGAUGUGAAGAUGGGAGACCUUCAAGCACAAGUCUGCAUCAGGGUGGAUGCUUUCCUUACCUGGAAGGGCUUGAGUGAACCAGUUGGCUUUUUAAAAUGACAAUCCAACAAUUUCAUAGCCACUUUUCUAACAAGACUUUUUAUUUAGUCUGAAAUUGAUAUCUCAUUCUGGCAUUCAAGCUCAUGUUUGAUUGGAGAGCUCGCCAGAUACAUAAUUGCCACCAAGUAAUCCACAACCAGAAUGUGUGGAUGGGGUAUAUCUCUCCCUUUCCUCACCCCAGGCUAUAUAAAACCUAUUAAACCUAUAAGUAUGGGUCAACUCCACAGCGAGGUCUUUGGGAAGUUCCUAGCUUUGAACUAGGAGUUUGAGAUUGGAAUUAACCCCGUCACUAUUAGAAAAACAUUGCACAGUAAAGAAAGGCUCCACAGGUGGAAGGGGCAGGAUUCGGGGAGCUACCUUGAGCUUGUGUCCUCCUUUGCCGACCCUUUGGAGAUUGUGAGAUCAUUGGUGAGGGGCCAUCAUUUGGUUGUGGGGGAUUAGAUCUUGGAUAACAUUUUGGGGGUGCAUUUGCAUCCCCAUAUGUUCUAAAGGAUUGAAUCACUCACUCAACACCCAUUCAUCUUUGGGGUGGUGGGGAAUGAGGAAAGGAUCCCACCACUCGGAGAUACUAUUUCUUGGCGUGGACCCAAAAUACCCCAAGAGGAACUCUAUAUCCCAGCUGGAACUCAUUUUCCUGCCCUUAUUGGACCCUAUUGGCUUCUUAUAGGCCAGGACACUUGCUUCUUUCAUGCACCAAACGUAACAUUUAUCUGAAACGGACAUCUCCAGGGGUAGAACCCUGCCCUUGGUCCAUUUCAGCUCCCUUUAUUUAAUAUUGUUGGUCCUGGAGAUUCUGAUGGAAUCCACAUAUUUUGGAGAAGAGCCAGCAUAGACUGGGAGCAAAUCACUAAUUAAUCUAGUUGCUGAUCCACCAUACUGAUGUUCAGAUCUAUGGAGGUCUCUAGGCACACUUCACAGAUCCCAUUCCCAACCCCUGCCAUUCCCAUGUCUAAAUUUUGCCGGAGCUCAUCUUGUCACUGAGAUUCUAUUUGCUCUCUUUCAAGUAAAUUAUGUCCUCUGGCUUUACUCCUUGUUUUUGCUAGUGGGAUUGGGAAGGGAAUUCAGAUCUACUUCAGGCUGCCUCACUAUUACCUCAAGAAAUUUUGAUCUCAAGGACUUUAGGAAUCACUAAGCAACUGACUAGAUUUGCAAUGUCUUUAAAGAAAUGUAGGUCAAAUCCCAGCUGGUCAGCUGCUUGAGGCAUGAGCUGGUCUUCAGUAAUGGGACAUUGCUUAGCCAUAGUAGAUAACAGAGAUAAAAGGCUCACUGUGGCAAUCCUGGGCUUGGGAGGGAGCAAGACAUUCCUGACCUUAUGUUAGCUCUUGUAGCACAUGCUUAUUGUCAAAUGCUGAAUGCAAGCCCACCUAUAAGCCAGUGAUGAUGGUACAUCUUAUUCCUUUGCGCAUCACCUCUUAAAUUCCCACCCCCCCCCCUCAUCUUUUGAGUUUGUCUAAUCUCAGAUCAGUCUUGCUUUGGUCAGCACCUGAAGUCAAAGAACUGACUGCCCAAGGAGUUGUGGAUUCAUUAGGGUCCCACUAUACAGUAAAAGGGUUAUUCAGUUGCAGGAUAUUUUGAACGGGGUCUAUAUUUAUAUUUUUAUUUUUGCAAAUAAAUGGUUGUAGCUUUCUAUUAACCAAAGUUCUAUUGGAAGUAAAAUUGGAUUAUCAUAUAGAGGCAUUCGGUUAACGUUGGUAUGGGAAUGUUUCCUCAAUACUGAAGGCUUAUGAACAGUCAUGAGUCAACCACUCCAAUUAUCUGUCUAUAUCGAGUUGUACUUUCAACUUGGACAGGAGAGUGGAGUUACAACUAGCAUGUCCUUUAGCUCAUGCUGGGGACUCAGUUUUCCUUGACACUGCCACAUUAUGCAGGUCCUUAGUUUACAUGUGUAUUAAAGAUGGGGUUUGUUAUGACAAUGGAAUGUUGUACUAAUGGAAUGUGGAUGACUUGUCCCACGAUACAGUACUAGUGGUAUGCUGUGUCAACAAAGCACAUGCCAAUGAAAUGCAGCAUCAGUGAAUUUCUGGGCCCACCAUGCCAUCAGGCAGAUAUUUGCUGAGAACUGUCUGAAAAUACUCGAUGGUUAGUAAAGUAAUAGAAAAAACAACCCUGGAUGAAUCCUUCCCCUAAUUAAAUGUUGAGACUAGGGGUGGAACGAGGGACUAAGAGGAAUGGCUUCGCCCCUCUGUGUCAUAAACCCUGUCACACUGGAACAGAAUAAACUUGGAACUGAAAGCCCAGAUUCUGAGAGUGUAGAAUUCUGUAGACAAUAGGUAAAGGUCACCUAGUUAAGCUGAAAAAAAUCCAUCAGGGGUGUAUGGAGCCAACACUGUGAUAACUGGGAAUUUCUUUGAUCCAAACUUAAGAACAAGCUCUGCUGAAACUGAUAUUUUUUUUUAAAGUAAUGUUUAAAGUCUGGAUGCAGAUAUCAGUGUGCGCUCAUACAGUGCUUGCAGGCUAUGUUUUAAUAUAUUAUUUCUGUAUUUUUAUAUAUUGUAAUGUAUAACUGCAAUCAAGUAACUCAGGAUGAAAAGCUCUACUCAGGGACUGUAUGAAGCUAUUUCAUUUUGGUAGUGUAGUGUUUUGAUGAAUAAUCAAAUUGCAAUGGUACAAUUCUGAUAUACCUUGGAUCUACCUCUCAGUAUUUUUUGUAUGAUGGUAGUUUUCUGCUAGUCUUUCGGGCCAGGCAUUUUUCUAUACCUGUCUGGUGAUCUGUAACUUAUAAAAAAUGAUUAAUGACCAUUUUUAAUAAUAAUGUUGAUCUCACUGUGUCAAGUGGCUGUUUCAGAGGGAGUGCAACAGCUGAGGAUAUCAUCCCAUUGAUUCAAAUCAAGAGUAAAUUGGGGCGCAAGUGGCAACUGAAUUCUUCAUUGUCAAUUCCCCCCCAACAUCUGUCGAACAAAAUUCAACAGAUUUCCAGUCUACUGCAAUUUGAUCCAUCUUAAAGUUUUGAUAAAUAUCAGACUUAGAAAGUUGUGUGAAAAGAAAUCGAGGCAAGUUGAUUGUAUGCCAUUAGUUGAUUGCCUUGUGUUUAACAUUGCUUAGCCUUCCAGAUAAUUAGCCAUUGGUAGAACACAAUAGUUCCUGCAUUCAUUCAUUUUGAAAUGUUCCACUUUGUUGCUCCUUAAUAUGUUAAGACGUUGAGAAUCCUACUCCACAAUUGGAUGAUUCCUAUUUUGGUACUUGGCUUGUCCGGUGACUUUUGAAAGAACAUAACUAUGACCUGUUGAGCUGCUCAAGUCAAUGAAAUCGUUGCUGAUCUUUUCCCUCAAUCCAUUGUCCCUUCUUAUUUUCAUAUUCAUUGAUUACCCUAGUGAGUAAAAAUCGUGUGGAUUUGUCCUGUCUGUCCAUAAUACUCGGGCAGAGUUCCAAAUAGUCACAUUCUUCUAAGUGAAGAAAUCUCAAUGUUGGCCCUGCAUGGCUCGAUACAAUCCCCUCUUAAUAAUAAAUGCUUUGCCAGGCGCAUUAGCUGCUCAGCGCUCGCCCUGGUAAACCGUGUACAAAUAUAUUGCCCCUAAUUUAAACGUGAUUAAAAUGAUAGGUUUUUUGCAGCCUCGUUAGCUUGAUAGAUUAUUGCUUGUGAAGAUCAGAGGUGGAAUUAAUUUGGGCAGAAGUGCACUGUUGGCAAUGAGCAUGAGUGGACAUCAGCAGAACAAUGAUGAUGGGCAUUCUUGCGUUGGAAGGUCAAGCAAGCGACU